GGGGUUGUGGCCUAGCCCGGUAUGGCGACGGGCUCCAGACCCGUUGGAGCACUGAUGCAUGUCGGAGAGACCAUUCUAUCGUGAGUUCAAAUCUCACCAACCCCA
rnacentral:tRNA from 1 species